rnacentral:lncRNA from 1 species
GUAUCUCAUCAAAACAAUAGAUUCACUAAUACUUAAAAGUUUAUUCAUACUUUCAUUAAGUAUAACAUAAGAUUUUUUGGUAUCCACUAAUGUAAAUAUUUUAAAUUGAAGAUCGAAUUCAAUCAUUGUAUUCAUAUAGUUUCAAGGAGUGUAGCUGCAAAAAAUCAUCAAAAUCGGAGUUAAAAUGACCGUUAAAUCGUGAUUUUUCUUUUUAUAACCGUCGAAAAGUUUUGUCCCGUUACUUGAUCUUUGAAUGUUUGUUUUUUGCAAUUUUUGGCGUAUGCGAUCUUGAAGUAUAUACAAACAUGUUUGACGGUU